AUUGAACGCUGGCGGCAUGCUUUACACAUGCAAGUCGAACGGUAACAGGCCGCAAGGUGCUGACGAGUGGCGAACGGGUGAGUAAUGCAUCGGAACGUGCCCAGUCGUGGGGGAUAACGCAGCGAAAGCUGCGCUAAUACCGCAUACGAUCUAAGGAUGAAAGCGGGGGACCGUAAGGCCUCGCGCGAUCUGAGCGGCCGAUGGCAGAUUAGGUAGUUGGUGGGGUAAAGGCUCACCAAGCCAACGAUCUGUAGCUGGUCUGAGAGGAUGAUCCGCCACACUGGGACUGAGACACGGCCCAGACUCCUACGGGAGGCAGCAGUGGGGAAUUUUGGACAAUGGGCGAAAGCCUGAUCCAGCCAUGCCGCGUGUCUGAAGAAGGCCUUCGGGUUGUAAAGGACUCUUGUCGGGGAGGAGAUCCCCAGCGUUAAUACCGCUGGGGGAUGACAGUACCUGAAGAAUAAGCACCGGCUAACUACGUGCCAGCCGCCGCUGUAAAAC
rnacentral:rRNA from 1 species